GACGGAGGGUGCUAGCGUUGUCCGGAAUUAUUGGGCGUAAAGAGCUCGUAGGCGGUUUGUCGCGUCUGCUGUGAAAACCUAAGGCUCAACCUUGGGCUUGCAGUGGGUACGGGCAGACUAGAGUGCGGUAGGGGUGACUGGAAUUCCUGGUGUAGCGGUGGAAUGCGCAGAUAUCAGGAGGAACACCGAUGGCGAAGGCAGGUCACUGGGCCGCAACUGACGCUGAGGAGCGAAAGCAUGGGGAGCGAACAGG
rnacentral:rRNA from 1 species